UCGAAGGUAGCAUAAUCAGUAGUCUUUUAAUUGAAGGCUGGUAUGAAUGGUUGGACGAAAUAUUAACUGUUUCAUAAUAAAUUGUAAUAAAAUUUUAUUUUUUAGUUAAAAAGCUAAAAUUUUUUUAAAAGACGAGAAGACCCUAUAAAUCUUUAUAUUUAUGUUAUUAUAAUUUAAUAGAUUUUUUUGAUUUUAAUGAUUUAUAAUAUUUUAUUGGGGUGAUAUUAAAAUUUAAUUAACUUUUAAUUAUUAAAUUCAUUAAUUUAUGAGUAAUUGAUCCAUUAUUAGUGAUUAAUAAAUUAAGUUACUUUAGGGAUAACAGCGUAAUUUUUUUGGAGAGUUCAUAUUGAUAAAAAAGAUUGCGACCUCGAUGUUGGAUUAA
rnacentral:rRNA from 1 species